CUUAGUUGACUUGAGAGCACAUAAAUACUUCACAGUUAAGCGUGCUUAGAAGGGAGUAGUACUAGGAUGGGUGACCUCUUGGAAGUCUCCACCAAAGC
rnacentral:rRNA from 1 species